rnacentral:rRNA from 1 species
AGAGUUUGAUUCUGGCUCAGGAUGAACGCUGGCGGCGUGCUUAACACAUGCAAGUCGAACGGAAAAGGCUCCAGCUUGCUGGGGUACUCGAGUGGCGAACGGGUGAGUAAACACGUGGGUGAUCUGCCCUGCACUUCGGGAUAAGCUUGGGAAACUGGGUCUAAUACCGGAUAGGACCACUGUUUAGUGUUGGUGGUGGAAAGUUUUUUCGGUGUGGGAUGAGCUCGCGGCCUAUCAGCUUGUUGGUGGGGUAAUGGCCUACCAAGGCGUCGACGGGUAGCCGGCCUGAGAGGGUGUACGGCCACAUUGGGACUGAGAUACGGCCCAGACUCCUACGGGAGGCAGCAGUGGGGAAUAUUGCACAAUGGGCGCAAGCCUGAUGCAGCGACGCCGCGUGGGGGAUGACGGCCUUCGGGUUGUAAACUCCUUUCGCCAGGGACGAAGCGUUAUGUGACGGUACCUGGAUAAGAAGCACCGGCUAACUACGUGCCAGCAGCCGCGGUAAUACGUAGGGUGCGAGCGUUGUCCGGAACUACUGGGCGUAAAGAGCUCGUAGGUGGUUUGUCGCGUCGUUUGUGGAAUACCGCAGCUUAACUGCGGGGUUGCAGGCGAUACGGGCAUAACUUGAGUGCUGUAGGGGAGACUGGAAUUCCUGGUGUAGCGGUGGAAUGCGCAGAUAUCAGGAGGAACACCGAUGGCGAAGGCAGGUCUCUGGGCAGUAACUGACGCUGAGGAGCGAAAGCAUGGGUAGCGAACAGGAUUAGAUACCCUGGUAGUCCAUGCCGUAAACGGUGGGCGCUAGGUGUGAGUCCCUUCCACGGGGUUCGUGCCGUAGCUAACGCAUUAAGCGCCCCGCCUGGGGAGUACGGCCGCAAGGCUAAAACUCAAAUGAAUUGACGGGG